AGAAAGAAGGCAGCCAUCCACAAGCCAGAAAGAGGAGAGAAGCCUCACCAGAAACCAACCCUGAUGGCACCUUGGUCAUGGACUUUUAGCCUCUAGAACUGCGUGAGAAUAAAUGUCUGUGGUAUAAGGCACUCAAUCUGUGGCAUUUUGCUAGGGCAGCCUGAAUAGAUGAAUGCAGCCAGGCACACUGUUCUAAGCAUGAGCAACAGGGCAGUGAGCAAACAGAUGAGGUCUCUAUGCUCACAGAGCUUACAUGCUGGUAGCGGGAGAGACUCGUCCCCUGGAUCCUUCCACCCAAAGAGAUCAGCUUUGCAAGCCAGGCAUCUCAGUGAAUGACACCAUGACCAAAGUUCUGCCCUUCUCAAUCACCACUUUCCUGAUGGAUGCCUGUUCAUUCUAAAUCUAUGCUACUGAAGGAGUCGUUCAGUGACUCACCUGAACAAACAUCUCUUUCAGGACUUCUCUCCCCACCUCUAGUUCCAGAAGAGGCUGGAAUUAUUUUUCAGGAGCAGCGAUACGAUCCUGAUAGCAACAAUAUGUAUUCAAAAAGCAACAACUAUUGAAGGGUGUGAAUGAGAUGGGAGCCUUUUCCUUUGAAUCAUAACACAACAUCAUGUUUUGUCCUCAGAGUAACUAGAGUGACAUGGAAUUGACAUUGGAUGCACUGGUCAGGGCAGAGGGAGAAAGCAGCCGGGGUGGUAGAUGGCUUUGUCUAUCUUCUUCUCUUUUGGCCUGGAAGCUAAGCAGUUAGGAGCAAGUCUACCUGUCCUUAUUAGCUGACCAACUGAGGGUGACCCUGGGGAACAGAUGAAGAAGAACAGAAAGAAGAUUCCAGGACUGGAUUUCUACCCCAGCAUAACUCUUGAAUGGAUUAAGCCAGCACCCCUUGAAUGUGAACUCUUGAGACUACGGAGCGACUGUGAUUGCUGCAGUGCAGAGUACAAAUUCGUUCAAGAAAACUGCCCUGGCCAGGUGUGGUGGCUCAAGCCUGUAAUCCCAGCACUUCAGGAGGCUGAGGUGGGUGUAUCACCUGAGGUCAGGAGUUCGAGACCAGCCUGCCCAACAUGGUGAAACUUCGUCUCUACAAAAAGACAAAAAUUACCCAGGCACGAUGCAGAGCAUCCUCUUGGUGGAUUUCCAAAACCCGAUGUUGUGGCAUGCAACAAAGAGGACACUUGUCAUUCUAUUUGCCCUGUUAAUGGUAAGUUUCAUGGUACAUCAUAGGUGUUCAAUACAUGUUUUGACUUUUUAAAAAGUUUGCUUUCACUGUCAUGAUUUAGUUCAUGAGCAUUUAGUAAACAAGCAGGAGGAGAAGGAUCCCCUCAACACUGAUGACAACGAUGAUGAUGAUGUUAGUAAUGAAGAGGAAACAAGAUAGAAAAAGAACCUGUAUGUAGGGUAACCUGUCAAUUUUCUAAUGAGCAUGCCUAGGUCAAAUGAGAGUGCCGGGGUCUUAAUUCAAAUCCCUCUUCUACCACUUAGCAGGAAGCAUCAACAAGGCACAGUAUGACCCAUUCUCACUUUCUUUGUCUUUAACUAGAAAUAAAGAUUCCUCACAAGCUGUGAAAAUCAAAUAAGAAAAUUGUAUGCAAAAGUACUUUGUAAAUGGGGUCAUACAAAUAUAAGAAGGUAAUUUCAUUAUCAAUUGCUAAGAACCACAUAGGCCUCUCAGGAUCCAUUUAAGUUUUAAGAUAUCUUAACUACAAACUAUCUAUAAAAAUGCAGAAUAACCAAGGAUAAGCUAUUCAUUUUUUCAUUGCUGCAUAACACAUGACCAAAAAAUUUAGCAGCUUAAAACAACUCCCAUUUAUAAUCUCACAGUCUGAAGGCUGGAAAUCCAGGCAGACUCAACUGGGUUCUUUACUUAGGGAUUCAUAAGGCUGACAUCAAAGUGUCAUUGGUGCUGGGUUCUUCUCUAGUGACUCUGGGGAAGAAUUUGCUUCAAAGCUCCUUUGACCAGAAUUUACUGGCAGAAUUUAACUCCUUGGACUGUAGGCCUGAGGUCCUUGUCUUCUCCCUGGCUGACAGCUGUAUACCACUCUCAGCACACAGGGGCUGCCCUGUGGUGCUUGUCCCAUGAUCCUCCCCAUCUCAGCAAUGAAAAACCCCACUUACAUCAAAGCCUCCCCCUCUGACUUCUUCUUCUGCUCCCAUAUGGAGAAACUCUCAGCUUUGUCUUUUUUUUUUAAUCAUUAUUUUUUAUUAUUUUUCUCACUGCCUCUUUAGUCACUGAUCUCUACUUUGAAAGUGAUUAGACUUAGGUCCACCAGAAUAAUUGCUCUUUUAACUCAAAGACCACUGAUUGAUAACCUUUACUACAGCUGCAAAAUCCCUUUUGCCAUGAAAUGCAACAUAAUUUUGAGUGUGAUAUCACAUCUCAUUCACAGGCCUGAGGGUUAAGGCUGGAUAUCUUAGGGAGGGGGAAAUAGGUGACCUCAUAAGAAGAUGGCCCUAAAUAUGUACACUGUGUCUAUUUUAUGAUAAAUCUCCCCCCUCAUUAAGAGUUGGGGAUAGAAAGGAGGGAGGAGAAAAAUAUAUUUAAAAAAAGAUUUGGGGAUAACCUCCAUAUACUCCCCAUGUCUAACACAACUUCUAGCAAAAUGUGGGUUCACACUGAAUAGGGAUACAAGGCUUCCUUUGGGACAUCUGCUUUUCAAUCUCAGGUUCCAUAAAGAAAAUAAUAUUGAAAGUAUCUUUGUCUUAGUUAAUUGUAUACUUUCCCUGCACCCCGCUGUCUAGCAAGAUACCUAGCACAUAGAGGGGCAAAAUAAAUAAGGUUGAGUGAAUACGUUAAUGAAUGAAUGAAUGAAUGAAUGGAGGAAUUUUUCACUUAGGCUUAACUAAGGGUCUCCGCUGAUAUCUGCAUACCUAGCUUAGUUGUUGUUGGGUUUGUUUGUUUGUUUGUUUUGAAAAAAAAAUGUUGAAGAAAGCUCAGUGUUAAGAUUUUGGUUUUGGUUUUGCCUUUUAGGCACUUGUUUUUUUUCUUUUUUUAAGCUUUCCUUCAGGGAUUUGUUCCAUAUGAUCAACUCACACGGAUUAAUGCUAUUCUCACCCAUCAUAGCGGGGCCAGGCCCUCCCAGUCUAGAGGGAGAUUUGCGUAGAUAGAAGGGGAGUUCUGCCCGAGGCAACAGUGGGCACCUGAGGGAGGGCCAAUUUCAAGAGCCUUCUUUUUGAAAGAAUUUAAGAGCCUCAUCAGUCUGCCAAGGAAUUUGAGUGCACAGUGCAUAACAGGCUAGAUUCUAGCUCAGCAAAAAGUAAAAGACUCCUACCAAAUAAAGCACAGAAAAAUCUUCCAGCAACCAUCCACAAAAAUGACAAAGCCUUUUCACUGUUUCUUGUUUGUUUAUUUUUAUUUAUUUAUUUAUUUGAGACGGGGUUUCACUCUCGUUGCUCAGGCUGGAGGGCAAUAGCGUGAUCUCAGCUCACCUCCACCUCCCGGGUUCAAAUGAUUCUCCUGCCUCAGCCUCCCGAGUAGCCAGGAUUACAGACGCCUGCCACCAUGCCCAGCAAAUUUUUGUAGUUUUAGUAGAGAUGGGGUUUCACCAUGUUGGCCAGGCUGGAUUUAAACUCCUGACCUCAAGUGAUCCACCUGCCUUGGACUCCCAAAGUGCUGGGAUUACAGACUCAGCCACCGUGUCUGGCCUAUUUUUAUUUUUAUUUUUGAGAUGGAGUCUCAUUCUGUCGCCCAGGCUGGAGUGCAGUGGUGCAAUCUUGGCUCACUGCAACCUCCACCUCCCGCAUUCAAGCGAUUCUCCUGCCUUAGCCUCCAGAAUAGCCGGGAUUACAGGCGCCCACUACCACACCCUGCUAAUUUUUUGUAUGUUUAGUAGAGAUGGGAUUUCACCACGUCGGCCAGGCUGGUCUUGAAAUCCUGACUUCGAGUGAUCCUCCCAACCUCGGCUUCCCAAAGUGCCGGAAUUACAGGUGUAAGCCACUGCGCCCAGCCCUCCUCACUGUUUGAAAGCUUCCUCCUUGAAAACUGGAUUGACAGAUACUGGAUUGAAGUGAGGCAGCUUAAUGCUGAAGAGGACAGCUGGCAAUGUAGCAGGGAAACAGAGCCUACCUUGCUGCAGAUAAAUCAAUAUUCUGCUCCAGGCCAUUAGUGGCUGGUUAUUAUUUAAAAACAAAAACCUGCAAAUGUAUUGGUUAUCCCUUGAUCAGACUGUGUCUCCAAAGGAUUCUUUUAUGAUUCUUCCAUUUUCCAAGUUGCACAAAACAAUUUCCCAUUAACCAUAUCCUCGCAUAUUCUGCUUACUAAACCAAAGCCAUUUACAUAAUGGGUAAUUUCACACACACAUUAGCUAAAUAUAGGUGUAAACAAAUACGUUGCUAAAGUUUGGACACAUUUGGAGAAUGCAAAACAUCUAGACUAUGGGAGAGGUGGAGGAUUGGAGCCAGGUACAUACACGUUCCAAAUUAAGGAAAACCAAAAAUAUAUAUACAUAUAUAUAUUAUAAAUAUUAGAUACAUAUUACAAAUAUUACAUAUAUGUAAUACAUAUGUAAUAUACAUAUAUAUAAUAUUUGUAAUAGCACUUGCUACACUCUUCUAAGCACUGCUCUUGUAUUAAUUCAUUUAAUCCUCCCAGAUACUGUAUGGUGUAAUUGUACUGUUAUUUUCAUCUCCCACUGACAGAUGGGGAAUGAUGAUAUAGAGAGGGUCAGUACUUUGCCCAAAAGCAGAACUGGGCACUGAAGCCAGGAAGACUGGCUCCAGAGUCCAUGUGCAUAACUAUUAGACUACUGAAGUCAUCCUCAGAGGACUGACAAGAAUUCUCGACAGAAAUAUAGUUAUAAUUAAGCAUUUAUCAGGCUGUGCUUGGACCCAUUUUCUGGUAACCAAAAGUCAUGUAGCACUGGAUACUGACCAUUUGCAUUCCCAUUGUUCCUAUAGACAAGAUUUCUAAUGUGAGAAUUGUAAGACUUUCACUUAAGAAUUGCCUAAGAUGUUUUUCAGAUCCUGAAUUCCAGAAAAACAGCUGAUGUCAACUAAUGUGAAGACCCGCACAGAGGCACGGCAUCGACCUGAGAGUACAGUUUCUUCAUCUCCCUGUCUAUGAUUUUACCCCGCACUUUUUGACCAAUCAACAAUCUUCACACUUUGGCCCAUUUCAAUACUCUUAAAAACCCUAGCCCCAAAUUCUUUGGGGAGAUGGAUUUGAGGUUUCCUAGCAUCUCCUCAUUCAGCGGCCCUACAGUUUUAUCUCUUUCUCUAUUGCAAACCAGGGUCUCUUCUAGGCAUAUCAACUUGCUACAUUGGGCAACAGAUUUGUUACAGUUACACCAAUACUGCUAAUCUACUCCGUGGUGGGUUUUCCAAACUCAAUAACCAUUUUACUAUCAUGUGCCUAGGUUUUGACCCUUGCUACCAGUGGGCUCCAGGUACCUUUCUCUAUUUCACUAAGCCUCAAUUUCCACAUUUGUACAACAGAGAUAAAAAUAGAGCCAAGCCCAAAGGGAUAAUCGCAAUGAGGAUUAUUCACUGCUUCAUUCAAAAGCUAUUCACUGCGCACCUACUGUGUGCCAAGCACUGUCCUGAACAACUAACAGAAUUGACAAGACUUCUUCCUUCAGGGAGCAUAUAAUAAACAAGAUAGAGUGGGGAAGAGGCAAUAAACACAAUUGUAGCAAAACUAUUAUACUACAUUGGAAGCUAAUAUAAACUAUUUAAAGAAAUAUAAAGUAUAAAAAAGAAUGGGUGUGCUGGGUUGGAGGGCUGUUGGAAUUUCAAAUAGGGGCCGGGGUGCAGUGGCUAAUGCCUGUAACCCUAGCACUUUGGGAGGCCAACGUGGGUGGAUCACCUGAGGUCAGGAGUUCAAGAUCAGCCUGGCCAACAUGUGAAACUCUGUCUCUACUAAAAAUACAAAAAUUCACCGGAUACGGUGGCACACGCCUGUAGUCCCAGCUACUCGGGAGUCUGAGGGAGGAGAAUUGUUUGAACUCUGAAGGCAGAGGUUGCAGUGAGUCGAGAUCUCACCACUGCACUCCAGCAUGGGCCACAGAGUGAGACUCUGUCUCAAAAACAAACGAACAAACAAAAUUCAAAUCGGGGAGAGGGGCCAGGAAAGUCCUCAGUGAGGAUGUGACAUUUGGGCAACACCACGUUUCAAAGGGUCUCCUGUAUUUAAUUUGCAAUUUAGGUAAAGUAAAACAUAAAAAUCACUUAGCUUAGUGCCUGAUACAACAUGGGUACUCAACAAAUAUGUAGUUACCUGCCCAGUAAGGCAAAAUAAUUAUUUUUUAAAUUUUUACUUAAAAACAAUAGUAGGCUGGGUGCGGUGGCUCACGCCUGUAAUCCCAGCACUUUGGGAGGCCCAGGUGGGCGGAUCACGAGGUCAGAAGAUUGAGACCAUC
rnacentral:lncRNA from 1 species